GAAAUUUCUAAGGGAGAGUGAGAAGAAAGCAAAAUAUAGGACCCCAGGCAUAGCAAAUAUGUUGUGAGUAAUAACAAGAUGGUUGAUGUUGAAGACAACAUCAGAAUAAUGGGAGUGAUGUGACCCUCAUGUGUUCAACCUUUACUGUCUGCCGACCUUCCCUUGCUUGGACAGCUUCGUGGCAAGAGGUUCUCUUCACCACCAGCUAUGAUUCCUUCCACUUUCCCUCCAAUCAACAUCCUCUUCUGAUCUCAC
rnacentral:lncRNA from 1 species